UCGGGGUCAGGAAAUCUAACAUCGCAAUUAGGCAUUAUACCAUAUUCCCUAGCUGCAGCUAUGACUGAGUGCUCUUUAAGCCUAUAGGGUUCGUCGGGAUACUCAAAAACCAUAUUAACCUGGGCCUCGGGAGUAGCCUCUAGGGGAAUAGCCAUCGGUAUUAUCGAGGUCCCUACGUCCUCACUACUACUAAAACUACUAGAAGAUUCUCGACCCUCACUACUCGACAUCACUUAGCAAACUUAAGACUUAGCUUAUGAACAACUUAAAGUCUCGAGCCUUACCUGGAGUUCCCGACGACUUGAGAAGUUCCCAAAGUGUUUUUCUCGAGCACGACCUCGCAGAACUCUGAUUUACAGUGGGUAAAAGUGAAAAAUAAAGGUGAGAACAACAGUAUUUAUAGGUGAAAACGAUGGGAGGCCAAAGGUCGCUAUCUACGACCGUCCACGAAGACACGUGUCACAAAUCCAAGCCACUCUCUGCAACGGUCAUAUCUCGACCUAUAUCAUCAGCCAUCACUUCUCGACGAAGGUUCGAGAAAUGACAUAACCCAUGUGCACCCCAUUCUAAGAGCUCGAUCUCUAGGACGAGUGCACGGGGGCCAGUGACUAUGUCAAUAUUGAUAUACCCCGAGGAGUUUAUCCCGAGGACUCCAUGUAUACCCCAUCUCAUUUCUCUGCUAUGGUCCUCGGGUCUCCCUAAGUCCUCGAGGUAUCGUAGUCCUCGAGAUACCUCUAGGACAUAUUUACAUUCUCUCAGGUCCUGGAGAAUAGUCCUCGAGACAUACGCCACCUACAUGCCUCCUAGGACCUGGGUACCUAACAAACAAAGCUAAACACCCAAGGAUUCUACAUCAACCCUGAUACCGCUUGUCAAACAAUUCCAUUACAAGUAGGACACUCUUUAUAAAUAGAAAUUCUCUUGGAUAAA
rnacentral:lncRNA from 1 species